CUACGGGGCGCACCAGUGAGGAAUAUUGCACAAUGGGGGGAACCCUGAUGCAGCAACGCCGCGUGGAGGAUGACGCAUUUCGGUGUGUAAACUCCUUUUAUAUGUCAAGAAAAUGACGGUAGCAUAUGAAUAAGCACCGGCUAACUCCGUGCCAGCAGCCGCGGUAAUACGGAGGGUGCAAGCGUUACUCGGAAUCACUGGGCGUAAAGGACGCGUAGGCGGGUUGGAAAGUCAGGUGUGAAAUCCUACAGCUUAACUGUAGAACUGCACUUGGAACUUCUAAUCUAGAGUAUGGGAGGGGAGAUGGAACUAGUGGUGUAGGGGUGAAAUCCGUAGAUAUCACUAGGAAUACCUAAGGCGAAGGCGAUCUCCUGGAACAUUACUGACGCUAAGGCGUGAAAGCGUGGGGAGCAAACAGGAUUAGAUACCCUCGUAGUC
rnacentral:rRNA from 1 species